rnacentral:rRNA from 1 species
UACGAAGGGGGCUAGCGUUGCUCGGAAUCACUGGGCCUAAAGGGUGCGUAGGCGGGUUUUUAAGUCGGGGGUGAAAUCCUGGAGCUCAACUCCAGAACUGCCUUCGAUACUGGCGAUCUUGAGUCCGGAAGAGGUGAGUGGAACUCCUAGUGUAGAGGUGGAAUUCGUAGAUAUUAGGAAGAACACCAGUGGCGAAGGCGGCUCACUGGUCCGGUACUGACGCUGAGGUGCGAAAGCGUGGGGAGCAAACAGG